rnacentral:rRNA from 1 species
UACGAAGGGGGCUAGCGUUGUUCGGAAUUACUGGGCGUAAAGCGUGCGCAGGCGGCUUCUCAAGUCAGGGGUGAAAGCCCAGAGCUCAACUCUGGAAUUGCCUUUGAGACUGAGUGGCUUGAGUACGGGAGAGGUGAGUGGAAUUCCCAGUGUAGCGGUGAAAUGCGUAGAUAUUGGGAGGAACACCAGUGGCGAAGGCGGCUCACUGGACCGGAACUGACGCUGAGGCGCGAAAGCGUGGGGAGCAAACGGG